GAUGAACGCUGGCGGCGUGCUUAACACAUGCAAGUCGAACGGAAAGGCUCCUGCUUGCAGGGGUACUCGAGUGGCGAACGGGUGAGUAACACGUGGGUGAUCUGCCCUGCACUUCGGGAUAAGCCUGGGAAACUGGGUCUAAUACCGGAUAGGACGAUGGUUUGGAUGCCAUUGUGGAAAGUUUUUCGGUGUGGGAUGAGCUCGCGGCCUAUCAGCUUGUUGGUGGGGUAAUGGCCUACCAAGGCGUCGACGGGUAGCCGGCCUGAGAGGGUGUACGGCCACAUUGGGACUGAGAUACGGCCAAGACUCCUACGGGAGGAAGCAGUGGGGAAUAUUGCACAAUGGGCGCAAGCCUGAUGCAGCGACGCCGCGUGGGGGAUGACGGCCUUCGGGUUGUAAACUCCUUUCGCUAGGGACGAAGCGCAAGUGACGGUACCUGGAGAAGAAGCACCGGCUAACUACG
rnacentral:rRNA from 1 species